AUUGAACGCUGGCGGCAUGCCUUACACAUGCAAGUCGAACGGUAACAGGUUAAGCUGUCGAGUGGCGAACGGGUGAGUAAUGUAUCGGAACGUGCCCAGCCGUGGGGGAUAACUACUCGAAAGAGUGGCUAAUACCGCAUACGACCUGAGGGUGAAAGCGGGGGACCGUAAGGCCUCGCGCGAUUGGAGCGGCCGAUAUCAGAUUAGCUAGUUGGUGGGGUAAAAGCCCACCAAGGCGACGAUCUGUAGCUGGUCUGAGAGGACGACCAGCCACACUGGGACUGAGACACGGCCCAGACUCCUACGGGAGGCAGCAGUGGGGAAUUUUGGACAAUGGACGCAAGUCUGAUCCAGCCAUGCCGCGUGCGGGAAGAAGGCCUUCGGGUUGUAAACCGCUUUUGUCAGGGAAGAAACGAGUUUCUCUAAUACAGAGACUUAAUGACGGUACCUGAAGAAUAAGCACCGGCUAACUACGUGCCAGCCGCCGCCGUAAUAC
rnacentral:rRNA from 1 species